rnacentral:tRNA from 1 species
GAGAGACAUUAGAACUGCUAAUUCUUACUCCCGAUGUUAACCCCCUCGGAUCUCUUA